GCCUGAUCAUCAAUUGGAUCCCAGGAAUGCCAACAGCUGCACUCGUUAUCAUGACUCAUCUUAAAAAGAGACACACAGACCUCUGAGCUUCUUUGAAAAGGUUCCUGUCAUGGGGGAUCAACAGAAAAUCAUGUUUGCUCUAACUCACGCUUGAGUACUUACUUCGUCUCUGGGAAAAAUGGUGCAGAGGUCCUCGGGGGAACAGUGAUGUCCCUCCAGCAGCCGGCCUUCUUAUUUGCAGUUCGCCUUGGGGAAACCAAAGAGAAUACUUCUGAUAAAACACCGAUGAUAUUUGUCUGAGUCACGUUAAAUGUCGUUGAUAAAUUGGUAAAUUUAUGAAAUAUUGCCUCCAAUCAUUGGCUUAAUUGCUGUCCUGGAGAGAAAAAUAAACCCCACACUUUUUGACAACUUUCAAACUUCCAGUUGCAAAAUGACCAUUCUAGGACCUACGCCUGAGCUAAACUUAUGAUUACCCACAUAAUUAAGUUGCAAAAGACAGACUGCUGAUUAUGAUGACCAGAGCUGGACUCGAGGAUCAGAUCAACCUGUUAAACUUAGUUGAAUACCAUAUGUAUAUGCGCUACCAAAACCCUGUGCUUUGGCAUGAAACAGACUCUUAACGGACACGAAGUCGGCUUGAGGCAUUUUCAUAUAUAGGAGCACACCCACUAUCUGCUGCUUGUGUGUUUCCUUUUUCUUGUUCAUGACCAUGAUCUGAUGCA